AAAAAUUGUAGUAAGUAAAUUUAUAUUAGUAAUAGUUAAGAUCUUUAAAGUAAAAAAAUUUGGCGGUAAUUUAAUCUAUUCAGAGGAACCUGUUCUAUAAUUGAUAGUCCACGAUUUAAUUUACUUUUUUUUAAAAUUUGUAUAUCGUUGUAUAGAAUAUUUUUUUAGAAUUUUAAUAUUCAAUAAAUAAUUAAGUUAAAUAAAUUCAAAUCAAGGUGCAGUUUAUAAAAAAGAAGAAAUGGGUUACAAUAUAAUUUAAAUGUAUAGUGAAUUAAAAUUUUUAAGGUUUUAUGAAAUUGGAUUUGAAUGUAAUUAUAAAUAAAUUUUUAUAAUGAUUUAGUUCUAAAUUAUG
rnacentral:rRNA from 1 species